rnacentral:rRNA from 1 species
AUACCGCCCUAGUUCUAACCCUAAACGAUGCUGACUAGCAAUUCGCCGUCGUUAUUCCCAUGACGUGGCGAGACGCCCCCGGGAAACCUGAAGUGUUUGAGUUCCGGGGGUAGUAUGGUUGCAAAACUGAAACUUAAAGGAAUUGACRGAAGGGCACCACCAGGAGUGGAGCCUGCGGCUUAAUUUGACUCAACACGGGAAACCUCACCAGGCCCGGACACCAGAAGGAUUGACAGAUUAAGAGCUCUUUCUCGAUUUGGUGGGUGGUGGUGCAUGGCCGUUCUUAGUUGGUGGAGUGAUUUGUCUGGUUAAUUCCGGUAACGAACGAGACUCUGGCCUACUAACUAGUGGAUGGGUGUUCUGGUGCAUGGGCCCCAUCCGAUAAUGUCUUCUUAGAGGGAUGAGCAGCGAGUAUAGCUGCAGGAGAUUGAGCAAUAACAGGUCUGUGAUGCCCUUAGAA